rnacentral:ncRNA from 1 species
UUUUGAUAAAGCAAUAAUCGGCAACUCAGUGAAGAAGGUUUAGUUAGCCUUGCUGAGAACGGGUUAAAUGCAAAGUUUUGGUUAUAUGGGAUACUGUAUGACUGGGGCUUCCUGUUGAUAGUGAUUGAUAUAGGAUAGAGACAGAAGUCUCAAAUGCAAGAUUCGGUUGCCGGUCUAUAUGAGCAAAACGUCUAAUCAACGAGUCGGAGCGAUAAUUGAGGAGAUUCACAGUCAAAUGGGAAUCGAUGCGGCUCUUAAGUUCUAUAUGGGGACAUAUAUGAUUACUGAGAGUAAUUCCAAAACAAGCUCUUGCCGAUGACCUGGAGAAAUCCGGCUAUAAGACAAAACAGAUUAGGGCGAGUACCACAAGGCAAAUUUUGAUACGUUUGAUAGUAAUAAUCAAAUUUAUUGAAUUCUAACAAGAAAACUGAAUAACGUGGGAAAGUUGGGAGUAUCAAUCUCCUCAGAGUGUCAGGUGGGGUAUACCACCGGGGCAUACAGGUUAGGGCGACGGCCCGAAACCUCAGGUAUGUUUCCUCUGUGACAGAACAUUGCGUAAUAUAGGCUUUAGGUAGGGCGAAAGUCCGCCGAUUGUUGUAUUUUUAU